rnacentral:lncRNA from 10 species
GCCAAAGGCUGGCUUAAGAGAGGGCCCACAAUGCAAUUCUGGCCUGUCUUCCUCUGCUGGAUGUCACCUUAUUUGAACUGGACACUUAGAACCAUGACAGCCAUCUGUGUCUAUGAGGGAGUGAGCCAGAGAACCAAGCUGACAUGUUGAAUAUGGACUUCUUUAAGGGCAUGAUGGCAAACAUCCUCAUUGUGAAUGGGAUUGGCAGCAAACAACUGUAUACCUGACUAACAGUGGCCUGAACAAAUAACGACAUAAUUUUCUCACCUUAUGAGAAGGCUGGAGGUAAGUGGCUGCUUGUAUUGGUUCAGAAGCUCAGUGGUGUUGGGACUGACACCACUGUGAUUCUCUUUGCCUUUCCCCCAUGGUUUCAAAAUGAUGGCUGUAUCCACGUUCAAGGAAGGAAGAAGAAAGUGCUGCAGUUCCAUUUUAUUGGGAAAGCAAAUGCUUUCCCAGAAACUUCACCAGAUUAUGCUUAUAUCUCAUUGGCUAGAACCACGUCACAUGGCCACCCCUAGCUGCAAGGGAGGCUGGAUGAAAGCUACUCCAUCAUCUUGAAUCCUGGAGUGAAGAUGAGAUGGGGAAGAACUAAGCUGACCUUUGAUGAACAGACGGCAUGAGCGUAAAAUGAACCUUUAUUGUAAGUCAGUGAGGCUGGCGGGGGCAUGUUAAUGACUGUGGCAUGCCCUUGACUGAUUAUAUUCUUCACUGACAUGCUGCCUAGCAUGCAGAGGCCAUGCGACCCUUGGGGAGGCUCCUACUUGCCUUGGAAAAGUAGCUCCUCCUCUUCUCAAAUGUAAUAAUGGAAACCUUACAUGGGUGGAUCCAGGGGUAAAGCUCUUUGUGGUGUAUAGCAACAGAAUGUUAAGUCAAAGUGGUUGUCAACAAAGUUUAUCGAACAGCAGCUAUAUUUUUUAUAAUGAACACUGGUUUGCCUGGAACCUUGAAGUAACCAUGAAUUUUUCCUAGACCCUAAUACUAUCAGAAAGAAACAAAUCACCCAACAAUAAGAUCAGUAACUAAAACCAACAAAUCCCAAAGGCAUCUCACAGUGCUGGCAUAUGUCUCUGCCAUAGCUCAUGCUCAUAAACUGCAAUGAGCCAACCCUGGCAUCAUGAAGGACCCCGAUUUUAAAAAUGGGUAAAGAAGUUCUGAAAGCCUGGGCAACAUAGUGAGACCAUUCUCUUAAAAAAAAAAAAUUAGCGAGGCAUGGUUGGUCAUGCAUCUGUAGUUCCAGCUACUUGGGAGACUGAGGCAGGAGGAUUACUUGAGCCCAGGAAGUCAAGAUUGCAGUCAGCCAUGAUUGCACCACUGCACUCCAGCCUGGGCAAUAGAG